GGUAAACGCUGGCGGCGUGCUUAACACAUGCAAGUCGAACGAGAACGGAUUAUAGCUUGCUAUAAUUGUCAGCUAAGUGGCGCACGGGUGAGUAAUGUAUAGGUAAUAUGCCUCUUACUAAGGGAUAACAAAUGGAAACGUUUGCUAAUACCUUAUACUCCUUAUUAACAUAAGUUAAUAAGGGAAAGAUUUAUUGGUAAGAGAUUAGCCUGUAUUGUAUCAGUUAGUUGGUGGGGUAAUGGCUUACCAAGACUAUGACACAUAACUGGUUUGAGAGGAUGAUCAGUCACACUGGAACUGAGACACGGUCCAGACUCCUACGGGAGGCAGCAGUGGGGAAUAUUGCACAAUGGACGAAAGUCUGAUGCAGCAACGCCGCGUGGAGGAUGACACAUUUCGGUGUGUAAACUCCUUUUAUAUGAGAAGAUAAUGACGGUAUUAUAUGAAUAAGCACCGGCUAACUCCGUGCCAGCAGCCGCGGUAA
rnacentral:rRNA from 1 species